GUUCACCUGAAUUUUAACCUGAUUUUGAAAAUCUCUCAAAAAAAAAAAAUAUAUAUUUCAAAAAAUUAUGAAGACUUCAAUGAUCAUCUUGGGAAUGUUGUUUGUGUCAUGCUGCUUCUAUAUCAAUUCCGCCGCGCCGGGAAUCGAAAUUAAAUACAAGCCACACAAGUAUAGCGAAGACGAUAGUGAUAAAGAAAUAAUGAAAGUAAUGAAAAUGAACGAUGAUUACGACAAUGAUUACGUCAAUAAUGACGAAAAGGAUUAUUUGACUAUUCCACCAAAGACAUUCAGGCAAUAAAAUGAUGGGCAUAUCGUUUUUAAAUUUUCAAUAUAUUAUUAUUAUUAUUAUCCAAAAUUUAUUUGCAAUUGGAUUAAAUUUAUUAUUAUAAUUAAUCAUUAUUUUUAUGUUUAUUUUUUCCCUCUCCUAAAUUAUCGAUUCAAAAUUAU